rnacentral:rRNA from 1 species
AUUGAACGCUGGCGGCAGGCCUAACACAUGCAAGUCGAACGCGUGGCGGACGGGUGAGUAAUGUCUGGGAAACUGCCCGAUGUAGGGGGAUAACUACUGGAAACGGUAGCUAAUACCGCAUACCAUCGGAUGUGCCCAGAUGGGAUUAGCUAGUAGGUGGGGUAAUGGCUCACCUAGGCGACGAUCCCUAGCUGGUCUGAGAGGAUGACCAGCCACACUGGAUCUGAGACACGGUCCAGACCCCUACGGGAGGCAGCGGUGGGGAAUAUUGCACAAGGGGAGCAAGCCUGAUGCAGCCAUGCCGCGUGUAUGAAGAAGGCCUUCGGGUUUUAAAGUACUUUCAGCGGGGAGGCGUUACCCGAAGAAGAAGCACCGGCUAACUCCGUGCCAGCAGCCGCGGUAAUAC